UGAAACAUUAUGUGCCUAUGGCAGUAGAUC
rnacentral:piRNA from 1 species